rnacentral:piRNA from 1 species
UAGGAAAGGGCCUUAAGUAAAGUGAC